AAAGAAAAGUCUUUCUUCACUUAAGACUUUGUGAACAUUUUAUUUGCAGUAAACAUUGGUAUAUGAGAUUUAUAGGAGGUUGGUGAUAUCUGGAAAUUAUGAACACUGUGUGCCACUGGAUCCUGCACAGAGGUUACAGAGGUCUUGUGUUUAACAGGAAUCUGCUGUAAAGGAGGAUGAAAGAGGGUCACAUCAGGAAAGCCACCUAAAAUUAUGAAGCUAGUAAAACCUAAAAUAACAAUAAGCUGCUAAGGAUCUGGAUCAGGAUCUGGAUUCACAUCAGCUGAUGUAAAUCCUUACAGCUCCACAGUCUUCAACAGAUAUGAACCAACAGACAAGGACAUCCUGUUUAUGUUUUCUUAAUGGAAUGAACAACUUCCAGGAGGAAAUUCUGCUCUGAAUGCCAUGUUUAUUUCCACCCUGUUGAAAUGUUCAUGAAUGAUACUGAAAAAGAAUUACUUAGUCUUAAAAUGUACUUCUGUUGGUAAUUGUCUGGCGUAGAAAAGGUAUCUAUAAUUGUGCCUUCCAGGCACUGUAUUUCCAGGAGUAUAUUAAUAUUUAUAUUAAUUAGUAGAGGAAGAAUUUAUUGAAAAUAUAUAUUUUAGUGUCUUGAUUUGUAAUAAAUGUAGGUAAAUAGUCUGCCAAAUUUUAAACAUAAGUAGUGAGCUACAUUCCUAUUCUAUGAAACUCACAUAGGCCCUCAGCUGCUCCAACAAAAUCAUAUCAAUUUUCUGUUUUGAUUACUUAUUUGUUCCAAAAUGACCAUCAAUAAGCAUUGUUUUCCUUUCCAUCUACUCAAACAGAAAGAAGUAAAAACAUCGCUGUCAAAUAUCUGUCAGAACAGAUUUAUUGUACUAUUUAAACCUGUUGAAGUAGAUUUUUUUUCUCCUUCUCUCCUAUAAUCUGGCCGAGGAGUUAAACUCUGAAGUAUAAUUAUUUUUUUUUCCUUUUUCUUCUUGACAACAUACAUGCAGCAGUACAGGUGGGAGUAAAAUCUCUGGGGCACUGUCUGAAUGAGUAUGAAGCUUCUUACUGCUGGUAGAAAUGGCUUUAAAAUUUACCUGGCUUCAGGUAUUUUCAUCAGUUGAUAGAAUAAAAACAAAGCUAAAUCCCCUUUUAUCUCAUGAUUCAGUUCUGUAAUAAAAUCGAUGCUUCACACAGGAUUUUCUAAAAUCACAACACAUCCCUUGAGUUGAAUUUGCAAUCUAGCAAAAGUAGGAUAGAUUUUAUGAGGUUUUCCUGACCUUCCAGCCCCUCCUCUUGUCAAGGAGUGUAGCAUCGGGUGUAGGUGGUCAGGCGACUCUACCUUCCCAAAAGCGCCUCCAGAGGUGACAGCAUCUGGGCAGGCUGCAAUCUCACACACACACCCACACCCACCCACACACACACCCACACACACACACACACCCACACACACACACCCCAUGGAUAGCAAUCACCGAUGCAGAGGCAGGAAGGGUCUCUGCGUAGCAUUCCAGUGGGGUUUAUUCCAACCACAGACCAAACGGGUCCAGGAACAAAGACAGGGAGCAAUGGAAGGUCCAGGAACGUAUGUACGCGCAAGGGGGAGGAUCUGACGGGCAGGGUCCAAUAGGAACAGGGGAAAGUGGAGCAGAGGUGGGGUCAGGAAGAAGGAAAGCCAAUGGGAUUACAGUGGUGGAGGACUGCACCAAACUGGGGCCAACUGGGGAACAGGGAAGGGAAAACUUUCUAGGGAAGGGAUAUACAAGGUAAAGAGGGGAGGGACAGCCAAUAGGCUAACUGGGUAUAUAAACUGGGGUACAACAAAAUGGAGAUGCAAAGCACUAUGGAAAAACCCUUCUUAUUAACUUUAAAAUGGGGGGAAACCUUACAUCCUGGAGGCCUUCUUCCACACCAUGAUAGCUUUUGGCUCCGGAGCCUCCAUAAAGGAGGCCUGGUCCAGAAACAAAUCUCUGCCAAGGUAGCACUGGAAAAUCUAAAUAAAAUUCCUACACUAGUGUAUGUGAUAGAGUAUGUUUGUUCGUAAACUUUUUAAGUAAGACGUACUUGUUUAUUAGUUAGGAUGUGGUUAUUGUGGUUAACUAUUUUUGUAAGGACUAACACAGUUAUUGAGCAAGUACAUUUACAGGAACUAAGAAAAGCAGAUGAGAAGAAAUCCCCUGGCAACAGUCCUGAAGCAUGCGCAGAGAACCCCGGAAAUGUUACAGCGAUAGGCUUGUGAACACCUUAAAAAGACCGGUCGGAACCUCAGACGGCGCGGCAGUUGGCAGAACGGAAAUCCCCCUGUCGCCCAGCGCUGCAUUGCCUCUUUGUUUUGCUUGCUGUAAUUAUUAAAGUUUUUUUAUUGGCUUCC